rnacentral:misc_RNA from 1 species
GAUGAAGAACGUAGCGAAAUGCGAUAAGUAAUGUGAAUUGCAGAAUUCAGUGAAUCAUCGAAUCUUUGAACGCAUCUUGCGCUCCUUGGUAUUCCUUGGAGCAUGCCUGUUUGAGUAUCAUGAGCAAAUCUCAAAGUCAAUUCCUUUUGUUAAUUCAAUUGGUUUUGCUUUGGACUUGGAGGUCUUGAAGAUUUUCACAGUCUGCUCCUCUUAAAUGCAUUAGCUGGAUCUCAGUAAUUAUGCUUGGUUCCACUCGGCGUGAUAAGUAUCACUCGCUGAGGACACUGUUAAAAAGGUGGCCAGGAAAAUACUGAUUGAACCGCUUCUAACGGUCUAUUAAGUUAGACAAUUACCCUUAAGUUUGAUCUCAAAUCAGGUAGGACUACCCGCUGAACUUAAGCAUAUCAAUAAGCGGAGGA